GGGUGGAAGAAAGCCUUCCAUGAAUUGCUCAACACAUUGAAGAGGAAGGCAAAAGACUGAGAUGGUUUGCGGGAUAGGCUUUUCUUUUCUCAUCGUGACAUCUAGAUUACUAAAAGUAGCUUUUAGAGUCUUCCAUUGUUGGAAGCUAGUCGAACCUGUUAAUAUCUAGACAUUAUUUUCUGGUUGGCUUUUAUUACUUACACCAUUAUCUUGGUUGUAC
rnacentral:lncRNA from 1 species